rfam:Lupinus angustifolius cultivar Tanjil chromosome LG02, whole genome shotgun sequence.
CUCUGCUUAAUAUUAAAACUCAUUCACUUAGAAGUCGUGAUGGAACCUUUUCACACCAUAAGGUGCUAUUGGUGAGUUGAGUUGUUUGGGAAUGCAGCCCUAAUUAGGCACUAAAUUCCUUCCAAGGCAAAAUACUGACAAGAAACCAAUAGCAAACAAGUACCACAAGGGAAAGAUGUAAAAGACUUUGAAAAAAGAGUCAAAGAGUAUUUAAAAUUGUCGGGUGUGAAGUAGAUAGGGUCGGCGAUGUGCCUCAGUUGGACGUGGAGCAGCCAGAACUGAUCCGCCAAUCAACCAUGAUUUCUGAGGGUUUAAAAUAAAUAAGUUGACUGCUCAGAAAUGGUGUUGGACAAAUUGAAGAAACAGUUUUACUGGUUACUCCACGAAUGUUUCAAAAGACAAGAAAAAAGUGGUUGACCGUUUAUCUGUAAAAAU